rnacentral:rRNA from 1 species
GUAGGGAAUAUUGCACAAUGGGGGAAACCCUGAUGCAGCGACGCCGCGUGAGUGAUGAAGGCCUUCGGGUCGUAAAGCUCUGUCGUAUGGGACUAACAAAAUGAAGGUACCAUGCAAGAAAGGAUCGGCUAACUUCGUGCCAGCAGCCGCGGUAAGACGAGGGAUCCUAGCGUUGUUCGGAAUUAUUGGGCGUAAAGCGGGUGUAGGCGGGCCUGUCAGUCAGGUGUGAAAUCCCAGGGCUUAACCCUGGAAGUGCACUUGAUACUGCAGGUCUUGAGUGUGGUAGAGGCUAUUAGAAUUCUUGGUGUAGUGGUGAAAUACGUAGAUAUCAAGAGGAAUACCGGAGGCGAAGGCGGGUAACUGGCCGAACACUGACACUGAGAUCCGAAAGCGUGGGGAUCAAACAGGAUUAGAUACCCUAGUAGUCC